GACGAACGCUGGCGGCGUGCUUAACACAUGCAAGUCGAACGGAAAGGCCUGCUUUCCCUUGUGGAUUGCGGGUACUCGAGUGGCGAACGGGUGAGUAACACGUGAGUGAUCUGCCCCCAACUUGGGUAUAAGCCUGGGAAACUGGGUCUAAUUCCCGAUAGGACUGCAGGGUGGUGCCUGUGGUGGAAAACGAUUUUCUAGUGGUUGGGGAUGAGCUCGCGGCCUAUCAGCUUGUUGGUGGGGUAAUGGCCUACCAAGGCGGCGACGGGUAGCCGGCCUGAGAGGGUGGACGGGCACAUUGGGACUGAGCUACGGCCCAGACGCCUACGGGAGGCAGCAGUGGGGAAUAUUGCACAAUGGGCGGAAGCCUGAUGCCGCGACGGCGCGUGGGGGAUGACGGCCUUCGGGUUGUAAACUCCUUUCGACCGCGAGGAAGCCACCUGGUUGGAAGGGUGGUGACGGUAGUGGUAGAAGAAGCACCGGCUAACUACGU
rnacentral:rRNA from 1 species